rnacentral:sRNA from 1 species
GCUGAGUGCAGUGGCCUUUACCUGUAAUCCCAGCAACUUGGGAGCCUGAGACAGGAGAAUUGCAAGUUGGAAACCAGUCUGGGCAACUUAGAGAGACCCUGUCUCAA